rnacentral:rRNA from 1 species
CAGCCGCCGCGGGAAUACAGAGGGUGCGAGCUUUAAUCGGAUUUACUGGGCGUAAAGCGUGCGUAGGCGGCUUUUUAAGUCGGAUGUGAAAUCCCUGAGCUUAACUUAGGAAUUGCAUUCGAUACUGGGAAGCUAGAGUAUGGGAGAGGAUGGUAGAAUUCCAGGUGUAGCGGUGAAAUGCGUAGAGAUCUGGAGGAAUACCGAUGGCGAAGGCAGCCAUCUGGCCUAAUACUGACGCUGAGGUACGAAAGCAUGGGGAGCAAACAGGAUUAGAUACCCCUGUAGUCCCUGUCUCUUAUAC